AGAUAAUUGGAGAGUACAAAAAAAGAUCACCUAAUUUAAACUUUCAGUUGAAACAGAGUGUAACCAAAGGAGAUUUCCCAGAGGAAGGUAAAAUGUGAGCUGAAUUUUAAAGGAUCAUCAGAAGAAAAUGAGGAUCCUAGGUCAAAGAAACAGACAUGUAAGGAUAGAGGCUGGGCCAGAUGUUAAAGGAUAUGUAAAGGUGAAAGACACACCGCUUGCCCCCCAAGAACUCACACAGAGGGGCAAGACAUUUACACAAGGAACAAGUCUCCAAAGCAUCUAUGAAGCAACGCAGUUCAGCAAGAGAACUCUGACCUGGGAGUGAAUCAUGGUCCUUCUACUUUCUAGCUGUGUGAUUUUGCAAAGUU
rnacentral:lncRNA from 10 species